rnacentral:rRNA from 1 species
AUGAACGCUGGCGGCGUGCCUAAUACAUGCAAGUCGAGCGAACGGACGAGAAGCUUGCUUCUCUGAUGUUAGCGGCGGACGGGUGAGUAACACGUGGAUAACCUACCUAUAAGACUGGGAUAACUUCGGGAAACCGGAGCUAAUACCGGAUGAUAUUUUGAACCGCAUGGUUCAAAAGUGAAAGACGGUCUUGCUGUCACUUAUAGAUGGAUCCGCGCUGCAUUAGCUAGUUGGUAAGGUAACGGCUUACCAAGGAAACGAUGCAUAGCCGACCUGAGAGGGUGAUCGGCCACACUGGAACUGAGACACGGUCCAGACUCCUACGGGAGGCAGCAGUAGGGAAUCUUCCGCAAUGGGCGAAAGCCUGACGGAGCAACGCCGCGUGAGUGAUGAAGGUCUUCGGAUCGUAAAACUCUGUUAUUAGGGAAGAACAUAUGUGUAAGUAACUGUGCACAUCUUGACGGUACCUAAUCAGAAAGCCACGGCUAACUACGUG